rnacentral:rRNA from 1 species
CCUACGGGGUGCAGCAGUGAGGAAUAUUGGUCAAUGGGCGCGAGCCUGAACCAGCCAAGUCGCGUGAGGGAGGACGGCCCUACGGGUUGUAAACCUCUUUUGUAGGGGAGCAACGGGCGUCACGUGUGGCGCCACUGAUAGUAACCGGAGACAAAGCAUCGGCUAACUCCGUGCCAGCAGCCGCGGUAAUACGGAGGAUGCGAGCGUUAUCCGGAUUUAUUGGGGUUAAAGGGUGCGUAGGCGGCCUUUAAAGUAAGCGGUGAAAGUCUGUGGCUCAACCAUAGAAUUGCCGUUGAAACUGGGAGGCUUGAGUAUGUUUGAGGCAGGCGGAAUGCGUGGUGUAGCGGUGAAAUGCUUAGAUAUCACGCAGAACCCCGAUUGCGAAGGCAGCCUGCCAAGCCAUGACUGACGCUGAUGCACGAAAGCGUGGGGAUCAAACAGGAGUAGAUACCCUUGUAGUC